rnacentral:rRNA from 1 species
GAUGAACGCUAGCGACAGGCUUAACACAUGCAAGUCGAGGGGCAGCGGGGAGGAAAGCUUGCUUUUCUCUGCCGGCGACCGGCGCACGGGUGAGUAACACGUAUGCAACCUGCCCGGCACAGGGGGAUAAUCGGAAGAAAUUCCGUCUAAUACCGCGUAACACCUUCGGGAGACAUCUUUCGGGGGUCAAAGGAAGCAACUCCGGUGUCGGAUGGGCAUGCGCCGCAUUAGCUAGUCGGCGGGGUAACGGCCCACCGAGGCGACGAUGCGUAGGGGUUCUGAGAGGAAGGUCCCCCACACUGGUACUGAGACACGGACCAG